rnacentral:misc_RNA from 1 species
AAGCAAUGUUCUAGCAUGAUUCAGGUUUGUCAAUAUUUAGCUGCUAAUUUAUAUUCCUGCCGUUCGUCAAAUUUUAUUUCCAUAUCCUAGAAAAUGAACUCUACCGUAAAGAUGAAGCAUGGGAUUAUAUGGUAUCCAUGAGAUUAUUAUUUGAUAGUUGUUUCGAUGAAUAGAUUAACCUUGCUCAAGUUUGUUGAGGUUGUUGAUAAUGAUAUGUCAAUGUGAAGUAAAGGAUUAACCUUGCUUAAUCUUAAGAUAUGCUUUUCAUGUUCAUUUUUUAUUUGAACUAAUUUCCACUCCAUUAUUUUCCAUCCAUAAAUUACAGAAAAAUAUGACUCUUGAUAAA